CUUAAACGUGGGCCAGUGCGAGGGGUACAGUCCGGGAACUCCAGGGGGUGAUGACCCCAGCCUGCGAGGUGCCCGCGGAACCGGAAGUGCUGCGCGGUUGCCCAGGAGCGAUCAUCCCCACCGUGCCGCUGCGUACACAGCGCGCAGCAAAGCGCCGUGCCAGGGCUGUGCGGGUGGAGCGCGUCGCCCUCCAGCUGUGCUGCAGUCGCCUGUGGGAAGGAGGAGCUCUACGCAGAACCCUGUUCCCUGUCGUUCUGUCCAGGGUGUCAGGUCCCGAGAAGGAGGAGCCCGCGGAUGAACAGAAAACAAUCUGGAAACGUCCACAUUGUGAAAACUGAGAGGACCCUGAUGACUGAUAGACUUCCUUCGGUGCAGAAAGUAAUAAAACAAUAAAAUGCCUUUAUUGUGGGCUCAGAGAAGACCACAGACGGGCGGGGGAAGAAGGUGGUGGAUCUUCUGAGGGAGCUGGCUGGGAGAACAACGGUUAAAUACUGCCAGGCUGGAGGCGGGGCUUAGGGGCGGACCAGCCGACGCGGCAUGCCAGCACUGGGUGGGAGCGUGCGAAAAUGAAGCGGGA
rnacentral:lncRNA from 1 species